ensembl:lncRNA
AAUGUGUUGAAAAGUCAUUGAUUUAUAGUGGACAGAGAAACGACGCGGUUGUUGAAAAGUCAUUGAAAUAUAGUUGACCGGGAAAUAUGAUUGAAAAUGCAUCGAAAUAUAGUUGACCGGGAAAUAUGAUUGAAAAUCCAUCGAUCAACGGGUGGUAUACCCAACGUACUGCACCGGACACAGCUCAUUUCUGGACCCUUGGCACAAGCGUACAGAUCACUAUUGCACACCAAUCUUUGUAAUCCCCUGCAAUAAAAAAAAUGACCACAUGGUGCGUUGUUCAGUUCAGAAGUGGGGCAACUGAAAUUGUGCCAAACUCAUGGGUUGAAGGAGAUAAAGUCUUCUGGCCCCCAUACCCUCCUAAGGACUCUAUUAGGCUGAAUGCAGCCAUCCUGAAUAGAGAGCAGCCUGGUCAGGGAUGGCACACAUACCAGCCUAUCCGUCUCCUCAUAACUCGUGAUAGUCAUGAUGAGGCAGCGAGGAGCCUGGACAGAUAUCUCAAUAAAGAUUGUGACAUCACUGACAUCCAGUCUGAGGAGGAGAGCCACCAUGCCCUGAAAAGAAAAAGAAGCGACCCAACUAGCCAGUCAGAACAGCCAACCAUCACCACCUCCACGAAUCUAUCAGACCCUCCAACGCCCCAAUUCCCCCAUGUUGUCUUACCCCAAUGUCCCAGCAUCGUUCCCUGGAGAUGAAUUGGUGUUCUCUCCAAUUAAUUUACUCCAGAGGCCAUCUCCUGAAGUUGUUUCAGAUUCUUCAGAAACUGCCAGGUUGGCAUUAAAAGAUGUGGCUAUGCAAAAACUUCUUACUGCAGUGACAGAGCUGUCCAAGGAGGUGAAGGACCUGCGGGAGGAGUUUAGGCAAUUCCGCCAGUCCUGCAGGUGUGGACAAUCGGAGUCUGUGGUACAGCCACUGUCGGAGCCCUUGGAGCUGCCCUUCCACACCAUGGAGGCCCUGGCCCAUGCAGAAGAGACACUGUUAAAUGGCACAAACCGACAGACUGCUCGUCUCGCCACCAUUGGAGGGACUACCCUAGAGGUGAGGGUCCGCCGUAUGAUGGCACACCUGUUGUCGAAUGAACUGGCUCCAAGACUGAACUGGGCUGGAAAAAAGAACAAGGAGCCUACUAAACAAAAACGUCCCUUUAAAGAGUUGGCACUCUGCCGAUCUUUGUUUGGUGCAGAGCGGACAACGCAUCACGACACCGUCACAGCAGAUGACCUACUAACCCGGAACAACACUUCUUCUUCUUCUUCUUCUUCUUCUUCCUUGAUGUUUAACGGCGGUUGGCAUCCAACUUCAAUGGUGCAUUACCGCCACCUACUGUACUGGAGUGUGAACCGGAG